rnacentral:rRNA from 1 species
UGGGGAAUCUUGCGCAAUGGGCGAAAGCCUGACGCAGCGACGCCGCGUGAGGGAUGACGGCCUUCGGGUUGUAAACCCUUCAGUCCACUGGCGAAGCGAAAGUGACGGUAGGGCAGAAGAAGCACCGGCCAACUACGUGCCAGCAGCCGCGGUAAUACGUAGGGUGCAAGCGUUGUCCGGAAUUAUUGGGCGUAAAGAGCUCGUAGGUGGCCUGUCGCGUCGGCUGUGAAAACUCGGGGCUCAACUCCGAGCUUGCAGUCGAUACGGGCAGGCUGGAGUGCGGCAGGGGAGACUGGAAUUCCUGG